GCAUCGAUGAAGAACGCAGCGAAAUGCGAUAAGUAAUGUGAAUUGCAGAAUUCAGUGAAUCAUCGAAUCUUUGAACGCACAUUGCGCCCGGUGGUAUUCCGCCGGGCAUGCCUGUUCGAGCGUCAUUUAAACCAAUCCAGCCUCGUGCUUGGGUCUUGGGCCUUUCGCCUCCGGGCGGGCCUCAAAAUCAGUGGCGGUGCCUCCUGGCUCUAAGCGUAGUAAUACUCCUCGCUAUAGACGUUCGGUGGUGUCCUGCCAGCAACCCCCCCAUUUUCAAAGGUUGACCUCGGAUCAGGUAGGGAUACCCGCUGAACUUAAGCAUAUCAAUAAGCGGAGGA
rnacentral:misc_RNA from 1 species